rnacentral:rRNA from 1 species
CCUACGGGUGGCCGCAGUGAGUAAUAUUUGUCAAUGGACGAGAGUCUGAACCAGCCAAGUAGCGUUAAGUAUUACUGCCCUAUGGGUUGUAAACUUCUUUUAUAUGGGAAUAAAAUGUUCCACGUGUGGGAUUUUGUAUGUACCAUAUGAAUAAGGAUCGGCUAACUCCGUGCCAGCAGCCGCGGUAAUACGGAGGAUCCGAGCGUUAACCGGAUUUAGUGGGUUUAAAGGGAGCGUAGGUAGAUUGUUAAGUCAGUUGUGAAAGUUUGCGGCUCAACCGUAAAAUUGCAGUUGAAACUGGCAGUCUUUAGUACAGUAGAGGUGGGCGGAAUGCGUGGUGUAGCGGUGAAAUGCUUAGAUAUCACGAAGAACUCCGAUUGCGAAGGCAGUUCACUGGACUGCAACUGACACUGAGGCUCGAAAGUGUGGGUAUCAAACAGGAUUAGAUACCCGGGUAGUC